CAGGCUAGGGGUCAAAUUGGAGCUGUAGCUGCCGGCCACAGCCACAGCCUCAGCAAUGUGGGAUCCAAGACGAGCCUGUGACCUAUACUACAGCUCAUGGCAACAUCGGAUCCUUAACCCACUGAGCAAGGCCAGGGAUUGAACCCACAUCUCAUGGAUACUACCAGGUUUGCAACCAGCUGAGCCACGACGGGAACUCCUCCCAGAUUUUUGAAUGGUGCACACUCAAUCUCAAUAGUUUCAAAGACUACACAUCUUAAUGCUCAUGGCUUUUAUUUUUGUCUUACAUGCUUCCUUUUAGGUUUACUUGUCUAUAAACAGAAUACUUCUCUGUACUACUUUCCAAUAUCAUUUUUUGCUAUGACCCCUAACUCUUAAUAUCAUUCAAUAAAUUCCUGUUUUUCAGUCUAACCAACCCCAUUCCUUUUUAACUGUACAGAUGAACUAGUCAGUCUAUAUCAACUGUUAUCCUAGCCCAAUCUUCUUCCAAACAAUGGCUCAAAAGAAGUCUGAAAACAUUUCCAAAAUCUUAGAUACGUGUGUUCUCCACACUAGAAGACUGAGCUUCUCCCCAUCCAAUAACAAGCACAUCAAUCAAAAUUGAUAUAUUUACUAUCGCCAUUUCUCUAACUCCAGUGAAACUGUUUACUUAGAGGAUACACAUCCACAAACAUAUAUUUUUAUACUUCAAAAGAACAUACAUUAAAACAACCAUUUUAAAAAUCCCAAGCGACACUGUUAAAAAGCAACAGGAGAAAGUUUGUGCCCCUGAAACAUGAAUGUACCUUCCAUUACAGCUGGCCUCUGUUUUUAAGUACUUAACCACGCAGUAAUAAUAAAUGGCCAACCAACUUUCAGAAUCUAGAGAACUUAAGUCCCACCUAAAACUAACACUUCUAGGUUGCAGAAAGAACCUAUUUAACUCCCAAGGAGACAAAGGCAGAGACUGCCUAUUCUAACCAUUUCCUCCUUCCUUUCUCUAAGCUAGCUUCACUACCCCUCUUUCCUUCACCAACUUACCUCCCUGUACUAAUCCCCCCCAAAUUACUGUAUCAGUCAGUAAUAUAUUUUAUCACCAGCUAUACCAAUUUCUUUUAAACAUUCAUAUCUUUUAUAGUAAUGAUUAUAUAUAUCUUUAUUUUAUAUAGUUCUUUAUUACAAUGAGAUGUUUUGUACGCAACUUUUCAGGCAUACAAAAAAAGAAUAAUAUAACAAAUGCCUGCAUACCUUUCACCUAACUGGAGAAAUAAAAUAUUAAAUCAAUGGAAUUUCUAAUUCAUACAUUCAUUUUAGUUUCAUAUUCUUAAAUUCACUUUUUAAAUGGUGAUAAAUUUAAAUAUGUGGAAAUGGAAAUAUUCAGGGUGGUACUAGAAAACAUGACCAUGUUAUAUACAUAACAUUAUCUACUGUAUGUCAGUGAGCCACUUGUGAAAAUACAAGCAUUCUGAGCUUGGUGAUGAAGUAAAAGAAGUACAUUUACACUAAAACUUUAUAGUUUAGUAAGGUUAGUAAGGUUACAAAACAUCAUUAUUCUGUACGUACCAGUUGGUGUCACUACAACUGAGAACGCAGUAACAGGACUAUAAUGAACAGAGAUCUAAAACUGAUUUCUGUGUAAUAUGAACAUACUGGUAUGCAUGAGUAAUAUCCAUAUAUGAAGCCCACUGUUAGUUCAAAAAAAAGGACCUGAAUCUCUUACCUGUGGGCAGCUUGAUACUGUGAAAGACUUCCUCUUCUGUUAACCACUGCUACUCAGUUCAUUAGUAUAAACAUUAAAGGCUAAUACAGAUUUCUAGAUCAGCCUUUUUGAGCCUAAAUUUCUUGUUUGGUUCAUAUUCAUUAAAAAAAAAUAGGAAUACAGUAGAUUGGCUACAUAUUAAAAUUCCUUUCAGUGGUUCACAUCUGUUGUGUAGUUUGUGCAGCAAACAUCCCAUCAACCACAAAAGCCAGAAAACAUCAGACAGCAUGUCAAUGAAGCUCACAGAACACUCAACGUAUACCUUCCAAAGGACUGAUGCAAGUGAAGAAGCCUAGAAUCAGAAGUCUUUUGUACUGCUUUCUAUGCUGCCAACUAAUAGGUCUGCAGCAACUGUGUGCAGUUAAGUGCCUCCCACAUAUUACCCAAUAGUAUCACUAGGCAUAAAUCUAUAAAAGCAGAAUAGAUACUUGAAAAGCUUAUAGCUUCUCAUAAUUACACAUAUUCAUUGUCAAUUGUGGAGGUCUCAGUACUCCUAUUCUAAUGCAUCAACUCCGUUCUUUCAGUCCAAAAGGCUGCAUUCUUACACAUUCCAAACAGAAAAUCCAUGACACAUAUUAUUUGCUGCCCUAGCACAGCCAGACUGCAGUUACAGCUAGCUGGCGCCAGUAAGAACAAUUUACAUAAAGCAGUCCUCAUUUCAUGACCAAACUAAAGAACACUGCUGAGUAAACCCUCCCUCAUUUGUUCCCCAACAGGCACUGACUGGUUCUAGAAUAUAUCUAUAGUUAUCUAUUUACUAAUAUGAUUAAAAUCCAGGUAGUAAGAAAAAAUUGACUUAAGAGUUCUUAUAUAACUGAAAUUCUACCCCCACCACACCAAAAAUAUUUGUAACCCCCAGAGAUAUUCAAAAGCCUUAGUUUAUUUGCAGCAUUGACCAAUAUGAUUAUAUAUAAAUACAAUGAUGGCUAUUUUUAACAAUCAUUAAAAAUAUAAAUUAUAAUUCUCAUUAGCUAAAAGCUGUCCCCAUUCUACUCUACAGCUGCCUUUCAAAUUUUGUUAACUAGUCACUUAAAUAGUAAAUGAUCAUUAAAUAGAUGUGCUCUUAAUAUAGUACUGCUUUAUGUUUCACCAAAUAAUAAGACAAUACAUCUUCAGUAUCACUAUUAUGAUGGUUAUAUAAUUCAAUAUAUUUACUUACCACUAGUUAAUACUACUGAAGCAUGUGCUCAAUAUCAAAACUGAGGCCUGACAUAUUAAAAAUAUCUACACAGGAACAUCUUUUGUGUGGCAUAUUCUUUUUGAACCUAAAUCAUUCAUGUAUUUUUUUUAAAUUGGUCAGAUCUGACUGAGCAAUAAUUGAGACAUUAUCUACAAAGUCCUUUGCUUAAGUUUUUUUAAUAGUCACUUUAUGAUUACUAAUAAGUAAUUCUAUAUCUUCACUUCUAUUUUUUCACUUAUUUUAUUGAGUAUAAAUAUAUUAAAUUUCAUUUUCAAAUAAUAAUUGAGAAACUAUUUUAGUGCCAUCUAAAAUGGUAAUAAAAUGGAAAGAUGUCUUUCAUAUGCUAACUGGGGCUUAUCCAAAAGUAUAUUCCUUAUUUUUUAAUCUCAUUUUCAGCUGUCUUAAAACAUGGGUCUUAAAUUAUCCCUAUUACACAAUACAGAUGAUAGGACACUAAAUCAAAGGAAUAAUAAAGUUAUAGAGCAAUAGGAAUUGGUAGACUUCUAUUAUGUGGAUAAUCCUAAAUUUUACCCAAGUUAUCUUUGAUAAGCAAUAGCAGAUCUCCUCAAACAACCAUAUUCUCUUUUUAGGAUCUGUGUUCCACCAGCAGCAGAUGAAGGGACAGGGACAAAAAUAUAAUAAGAUGGUAUAACUUCAUAUAGAUUCAUUGUGUAAGUAAUACUUGUUGGGAGGAAAAGUUUUAUAUCAAAAGGGCUAUUGAUCAUAAAAUCUCAGAGUUGGAAAUCAUCUAAGUAUUCAUUCCUUCCAGUUUUAAUUUUGCUUCCUCCUUCUCUUUCUACUUUAUAUAUCCAACUUUUCAAAUGAAAGUACUUUAAAUCAAAGGACCUAAAAUCUUUUAGUCUAGUAUAAAAUAUACUGUUAAUAACAAGUAUUUAGAUACUAUUUUUUAAAGACAAAUAAGUUAAAAAAUCACCUGACAAUGAAAUAAUCAUAAAAAGCUCAAAUUCUCUAUAACCUGCUAACAAUGGAAGUUAUCAAUCUAGCUGAGUGCUUCUCAAACUCAGGAUGGUAAAGAAACCAAUGUUUUAUUUCCAUUACAGACCAAUGCUCUUAUAAAAUACUCAAUGAAAAUGAAUUAUUUGGGGGGGAGGCAUAUAAAAUAAAAAUAUUUUUAUUACUUGAUCUGAUAUAAAAUUAUUUUAUCAAAAUGAUAAAAAUUUGUAGACACUUAAUUUUAGUUACCUAAUGGAGGAACAGGAACAGAUGAACUUAUGAGACGUGACCUUGAAUUGAUCCACAGAACACAUUUUGAGUAGAACUCACCUAGCUAGUCACCACUUAUUCCAUCCUACCACCAGCAGUCUCAGUCCCUCAAUAUUUUAACUUUCUCUAUUAACUUCUAUCUUCCUGUUUCCCCUGUCCCAUGUAAAUUCCUUGCAGGCAAGGGAUCUUGUACACCAGCUAUCAAAAUAGUGCCUGGCAAAUAACAGGUGCAUAAUAAAUAUUCGUUAAAUUUGUUGAAACAGUUGAUCAAUUUACAGUCCAUUUUUGUUUUCACUCUACCAUGCUGCCCAAGCACAAAUAAGAAUCUUUGUUUUGUCCCCCUUUGGGUUCUUUAAAGUCUUUAACUUGAGAUUUAAACAUUUUUACUGUUAACUUAGCCAGGACCCGAAAAAUUUCCUCUUCCUAAAGAUCCCUUUCUAAAGUAUCCAGUAUUCCAGAUUUCUCUCCAAUUUCAUAAUAAUUGAAAAAAGAAAUAGAAAGAAAAAGUCUGUGCUGGAGAGAACCUUGUGAGGAAAAAGCAACCAAAAUUUAUUCAUACUUAAUUUCUAUCAUACACUGCACUAAGUACUUUGUAUUUGUUAUGCUCAUUUAAAUUCCAAAAUAAAUUCCGCAUGGUACUUUAUCCCC
rnacentral:lncRNA from 1 species